GAUGAACGCUGGCGGCGUGCCUAAUACAUGCAAGUCGAGCGAACAGACGAGGAGCUUGCUCCUCUGACGUUAGCGGCGGACGGGUGAGUAACACGUGGAUAACCUACCUAUAAGACUGGGAUAACUUCGGGAAACCGGAGCUAAUACCGGAUAACAUGUUGAACCGCAUGGUUCAACAGUGAAAGACGGUCUUGCUGUCACUUAUAGAUGGAUCCGCGCCGCAUUAGCUAGUUGGUAAGGUAACGGCUUACCAAGGCAACGAUGCGUAGCCGACCUGAGAGGGUGAUCGGCCACACUGGAACUGAGACACGGUCCAGACUCCUACGGGAGGCAGCAGUAGGGAAUCUUCCGCAAUGGGCGAAAGCCUGACGGAGCAACGCCGCGUGAGUGAAGAAGGUCUUCGGAUCGUAAAACUCUGUUAUUAGGGAAGAACAAAUGCGUAAGUAACUAUGCACGUCUUGACGGUACCUAAUCAGAAAGCCACGGCUAACUACGGG
rnacentral:rRNA from 1 species